UACGGGAGGCAGCAGUCGGGAAUCUUGUGCAAUGGGGGAAACCCUGACGCAGCAACGCCGCGUGAAGGAUGAAGUCUCUAGGGAUGUAAACUUCGCAAAUAUAGGAAGAAUCAAUGACGGUACUAUAUGUAAGCUCCGGCUAACUACGUGCCAGCGACCGCGGUAAUACGGAGGGUGCCAGCCACCGCGGUAAU
rnacentral:rRNA from 1 species